rnacentral:rRNA from 1 species
AUUGAACGCUGGCGGAAUGCUUUACACAUGCAAGUCGAACGGCAGCACGGGGGCAACCCUGGUGGCGAGUGGCGAACGGGUGAGUAAUACAUCGGAACGUGCCCAGUCGUGGGGGAUAACGUAGCGAAAGCUACGCUAAUACCGCAUACGAACUCUGGUUGAAAGCGGGGGAUCGCAAGACCUCGCGCGAUUGGAGCGGCCGAUGGCAGAUUAGGUAGUUGGUGGGGUAAAGGCCUACCAAGCCGACGAUCUGUAGCUGGUCUGAGAGGACGACCAGCCACACUGGGACUGAGACACGGCCCAGACUCCUACGGGAGGCAGCAGUGGGGAAUUUUGGACAAUGGGCGCAAGCCUGAUCCAGCCAUUCCGCGUGCAGGAUGAAGGCCCUCGGGUUGUAAACUGCUUUUGUACGGAACGAAACGGCCUGCUCUAAUACAGCGGGCUAAUGACGGUACCGUAAGAAUAAGCACCGGCUAACUACGUGCCAGCAGCCGCAGUAAAAC